rnacentral:lncRNA from 1 species
GUCACUUCCAUUUUCCUGCAUAAAAGAAAAGAGAGAAAGUGAGGCAAACAGGAGAAUAAAUCAGUGAGCUAAUUUGGAAAGGAGGGGGAGUCUUGGACAAUUUAGAGCACUAUAAUAAAAGGUAAUUGUCCUUAAACUUAGCACCUGUCUUAAAUUAAGAUUUGUAUGCUUGCUUUCACGGAGACUUUAUACUCAAAUAGACCCUCAUUCUUUUUAUUUCUAAAUGAUGAAGUGAAGUUCUAUUAUUAUUCAAACAAAAACCUCAACUGUAUAUAAGUAGAAGGCUUGUGCUUUCUCACCAUCAUUUAUACAAAUUAGGGGCUAGGGUUCUUAUGUGAAUUAAGGUGUUUUCUCUUGGUUGUGCUGAUUGGUUGGAUUAAAUUAAAGAUUGGGUUUGAUUUGUUUAAAGAAGAGGAUAGGCUGGUCGGGACAAAAUGGUAAUCUGUCAUGCUGGUGAUUAAUUAAAUAAACUAGCGUAAAAGCCCGUGCGAGGCACGGGCCUUCAAUUUAAAUUAUAUUUUUAAGUAAUUAAUUUAUAUAUAAAAUAUUAAAUUUCAUUUUAAUUAAUUUUCUAUAUAAUAUUUAAAAUAUAGUUUUUCGAAUUUUCAGUGUACUCCAUGACAUUUUUCUAUUAUCCUUGAUUACAACCCAACACCCUUUAUUAUUAAAUUAUUACAUGUUUAGUAUGUGUUACAGAAAUUUAUCUUUCCUUUAUUUGGUCAUGGAUUUACUUAGAUAGAACUACACAUUGGUAUCAAAUAAACUUAUACAUGAUUCGUAUAAUUAGUAUAUUCUCGAAGAGGAUCAUAAGAGUGAUAAAUCUUGUAAUAUUUCUAUCAUCGACCUGAAUUGCAUAUCGACCUAGAAGUAUAGAAGGCACCAAACAAAAGGUCCUAUAAAAGUAAGUUGACAACACAAGAUCUUUUGAAGACAGCAUACGGAAGAAAUCAAAAUAUACAUACUUUGACUAUAGAUAUGAUUCUUGAUUUUCUUAGAAUUGAAGCUCCGAGUUCGGAAAGCAAUCCAAGGUAUUGGUUUAUAAGUAUUUAGCUUAAAGAAACAAAAAUAGUACCUUAAAUAAAUAUAUUUCUAAGAACUGCUGAGCAAAUCAAGUGGAAGAAGUAUUCUGAUUUCUGGAACUGAAUUUUUCAAAAAUUAUGCACCACAAUACAAGGUGCAAAGGCAUAAGGUAUUACUGCAGCUCUCACUUCAAGAGCAGUAGCUGCAAUAAUCUUUUUCACCAGUUGAGGGUCCCUGCAUAAAGAAUAUUAUGCAUCAGGUUAAAUCUCCAGAUGUACAAUAAAGAUCUUUCAUAUAAACUUAUAUUGCACUAUCUUCUCAAAUUUCAUGCAACUUAGGCAUUGUUAUGGCCGUGAACAUAAAUCCCAUAGAUCAUGGGUAUUACCAAGGCGGGUUGAUAAUGCACCAAUUUAAAUUUGAUAACCAUGUUUACCCAUUCCUCAGGAGAUGCUUGUUUGUUUAUAACACUCCAUCCAUCACUCAACACACUUCCCAUAAAGAUCAUAAAAACAUAUGUACUAUGAAAAGUAUGAUUAAAUGCAUAUUGUAGAAUAUUUGCUAAGAAACUCACCGACAAAUUAUUUCUUUAUGACCUCCAGAGGAGUCACGAUUCUUUCUAUCUGCGUCAUGUGUCCUAUCUUUUCCUAUAAGGUUUUUUCUUACCAGGUCCUUUAUUUGUAUUAAGUACAACUAUAGAUAUGUAAUGAUGGACGAAAAGAUAAAAGGAUUAAAUAUUCUAAUAUUGAAAUAUAAUUUCACCACCUUUUCUGUCCAAGUUAAGGGAAGUACUCUUGUCUUCUUCACUUGCUUUUUAAAGAUAGAGCUCAAGUUAAGUAGUACACUGCAGAAGGCCCAAUUUAUAAUGCAGGACCCUGGUAAAACAUAGAAGAAGUGAGAGAAUAUGUCAAUGUUACAACCCAAGAAGAUAAACAUAAGAGAAAAUAUGGCUAAAUACACCAAGUUCCUUGCCAAGGAAGCACCAA